CGAUCAGUGGUGCAAUGGCAGCAUAAGAGUCUCCAAAACUCCUGAUGCGGGUUCGAUUCCUGCCUGAUCUG
rnacentral:tRNA from 1 species